AUGAGAGAUUUAGAGGACCCAACUGGAAAAAUCCGCGAUCACUUAGUUGCUAAUUCUACAUCACAAUAUGCUUCAGAGCAACAAAAGCAGUGUUGGGGGUGCUGCGCUGGUUGUCCACUUCUCAGAUCCAGCCCGAGUCAACGACGGCACAACAACACAUCUCUCAAGGUUCAAGCCUCCAAAGAAAACAUAGUCGAAGAUGAAGGAAAUAAAAUAGAUUCACAGUCAAUAGUUAUUGAUAAUUUCAACACAUUAACGGUAUUACUAGCGACAUCGCGGGAAGAUGGCGUGUUUGCGACGCUCAAGUCGACGAUCGAGAGUCUGGGCUACUGCCUCUUCACGGCGGCCACGGAAGAGGCCACGCGUGACGUCAUCCUCCAGUCCAACCCCCAGGUCGUCUUCAUCGACCUCCGCCAGCCUAACUUCAGGGGCGACCAUAUCUGCAAGUAAGUUACUCUUAAACCCUUCCUCAUUUCUUUUGUUGUCUUCUUGAGAUGCCAGCAGACCUCCGCCAAAAGUCCAUCUCAGUUGCCCUAAGCAUGUCUUCAGUCCUUUUCUUCAAUUACCAGACCUCACUCCCGUAAGUUAUGAUACUCUUCACGACGACGUUGUAAACGACGUUUGGUGAUGUUUUGGGUACGCGAGGCGAGAUAAUGGGUGUGGAGAAGGACAUCGUGCACGAUAUCAGGUCCAAGCAGUUGGUCUGGUAUGGACAUGUGCGAAGGAUGACAGACGAUCGGUUGCCCAAGCAGGUCUUCGAUUGGGUUCCUCCCGGAAGGCGACGGCGUGGGCGUCCUGUGAAAGGUUGGCGACAAGGGGUGGAGGAGGAGAUCAGAAGGUGCCGAUUGCCUGAUGAUCUCUGGGAGGAUAGGGGGCAAUGGCGAUUGGGCGU
rnacentral:lncRNA from 1 species